GUGCCUGCAGGAAAACACAGACAAAAGAGGGAGAGAGAGAGAGAGAGAACUACGUGUCAAAAUCUUGUGCAAAAAGCUUGUUCUUAUGGAGGGUUUGAGGCUCUGCAGCACCUCCUGGUGGGAGCACUUGGUAAGUGCAGCCUGUUGUCACAGUCCAACAACAACAACUACUUGCAUUUACAUAGCGUCUCUCCGAGGGCCCAACAGUGGCAGAGCCUGACGCCGAGGAGGUGACCGCAAGCACGGUCGAAGCGAAGCCCACCCUAAUAUCAACCAAUUCCAGACUGGUCCAGACAAUUGGGGGAAAGACCAAAAGAAAAGUUUUAAUCCCGGGCAUCGUCCUGAAAGAAAACCUCUGCAAAUAGAUGUCAGUGUGCGUGUAGUACUGUAGUGAGCUUUAACCUCUAAAAGCUCAGUACAGCACUACACGCAGAAGUCGCUUUCUUUAGAACAUGAUUUUGUUCUGACCGCUUUCUAUUUCGGUCGUUUCAAUUGACGUGUUUCCAGGGAACUUGUUUGCAACGGCUGGGUUAGGGACUGUGAUCGUUAAGAUAGAUUUAAGUGAGCUACACGACGUGACUGACCAUUCAUCAAAGUGCUUCCGUGAUGCCACUGCAGACCAAUUUUAGUCAACACAAUUUUUUUUAUCUAUGUAUGUGUAUAUAUAUAUAUAUAUAUAUAGAGCGAGAGAGAGAUGGGAACAUUUCCGAAUGAGAUGUUUUCACAAGGAACGAAACGAUCUUCAAAUCAAAUAGCUGAACAUGAAUCAAUCGUAGCGCAAGACGGGCAAAUUACUUCAGUGCGAACACAGUUUCAACCCCAACUGAGAAAAUCAGAGGGAACAGUCAUGUUUUUAUCUAGAUCGAAAGGGAAAGAAAUUCGGUUAAAUGAUUUGGAGGGCACUGGGUAAAUAAUGCUGGCUCACAGAUAACCGAAUGGAUCGUACAUUGACCUCCACUGGAAAAAGGGCAAGGGGCAAAAUAUCGAUGUGAAUUCUAAUUGUAGUGUGUUAUUAAAUGUGUUAAAAGGUAAUCAAGAAAAGAAAUGUUAACCAGGCACUGGGACUCUUGCAUCAUAGUCUUUGAACAAUACAACAACAACUUGCAUUUGUAUGGCGCCCUUCACACAGGGCAAGGUUUCGGAGCGCUCACUGGGAAUGUUUCCCAAGUAUGAAAGCCACACAGAUUUUCAGUUUCUUCCAGUGCUCCUUUUUCUUCAAGGGAUGGGUUUGAACGAUUGACUGCUCACUUGGUAAUUCCUGCAUACAGCUUGCGGGUGUGCGAGGAAUAAUGAAAAGGACUAAAACAGACAUAAGGGUACAACUAAGCAUUCAAGUUUGUUUUUCCCCCUCCUCCGACAUCUGUCUGCUUACGGAUGAAAAGGCAACGAGAAUUGCUGAAAGAAUCAAAAUGUGCUUGAGAUUUCGUUUUGAAAGGAACAAAAGAUUUACUGUAAAAAAAAUGGACAGUGGCAAACAGGACACUAUGGAAAGAAGAUUAUGAUGUUGGGGCUGCCAGUAAGAGGCAGUAGCAGCUGUAGCUUGGACCUUUCGCAGGCGAACAAAUCAAUCCGUCAAAACGAGUGAACUUUCGGAUCACAUCAAAUCAAGGUGACGAUAACAUAGCGUGGAUAGUGCAAGGCACAUUCGGCCAGCAAAUGAUUUUUGGGCAGUGAACCACCACAUGGACUCAUCCUGGCCUUGGAGUGCAGGUCUGAACAGUUAACUGGGGAACACAAGCAAAAGGUUUUGCUACUCGAUUACACAACUCUAAGCUACAGCUGAUCGGAUUGACGUCUGCUGCGUUCUGCUUCACCCAAAGUGAAAUAAACAAUUCUGAAAAUGCCUGUGUACCCAACAUGAUCAUAAAAA